GGGGGCGGAUGGGACCUGGUGGUUUCCUCAGUCUUCAAAACUGAUGCGACCCGAUCACGUCGGGUUGGGUGGGUUCGAUUCCCACACGCUCCCGCCA
rnacentral:tRNA from 1 species